AAGUCAUAACUCAUUCACAUCGUAGGCUAGUUUGUCUUUUCAUUUCUUAACCCUUGUUUGUUUCCCUAGAAAAGGUUUUCUUAACCCUAAACCCAUAGAUUUUACACCAACAACUCUGUUCUUCUUCUUCUUCUUGGCUAUCUAAUGGCGGCCAUUUCAAUUCUACACUUACCAACCCAAUUCCUGAAACCAAAGUGCAAAACCCUCUUCACAAAAUAGAUAUAGAGGUAACAAGAAAAAGUAAAAACAAACACAAUACUGCUGCGAAAGUGGCCCAACGAGAGUGUGAGAGCUAAAUCUGAGCCCAAUGUCUAUUUGUUCAUCAUCCAAAUCUUCAUGUUCCUAAACUAAAUCAUGGAUGGUGAACGGCAUUGUGGCCGGAGCAGCCAUUGCUGUAGCCAUCGGAGCACGCGCUUAUCUGGGUCAAUCCAAGAAGUUGCGGAGUCGGGUGUGGGCAUCAUAGCCGCUUGUUUUGCUUCCUCUCGGUUCCAAGGCAAACCCCUCGUUAAUACCCUCGGCAAGCCCAUGAUCCAGAGAACAUGGGAAAGAUCAAAAUUGGCAACCACAUUGGAUCACUUGGGCAUUGUAUAUAUUUCCUUACAUGAUUUUUGUGUCAAUUCAAUAAUGCACUAUGUUAACAUUUGUGGUUCAUGUAAUAUUAACUUUGUCUUUGAGAUAUGUUGGUUUUGCUUUAAGCUAUUCAGAGUGAAUACUCGUGAAGAAGGUGUUUUUGAAUUUGAUUCUGGAUCUAAAUUCAAUUGCUCGCUUCUGUUAGUUUGACAUUUUGUUUGGAUCACAUCUAGAUGCAUGUUGAAUGGUGCCUUUGGCAGUAAAUUUCCCCUCUUUUCUUUGUACGAUUAUUUUGAAGGUGAGAUAUGCUUAGGUUAACAAUGUUGUUCAAAGUUUCGUUUGGAUAUGGUAGUGAACAUAGCCGAUAUUAUAAAAGAUAAGAGCGUAUUUUGAUGUUGCAACUUUUAAUAUGAGUUCUAGCAAAUCAUUACGAGCUUCUGGUGUUUUAGAUUUUAUUUUAUGUCUGCGCUUGUUCCUAUGCCUGCAUUUUGUGUUUAUAAUGUCUCAUUUUGUGCCCUUAUGAUCUAAUUGUGGCAACGGAUGACAGGAAGAUUGCAGAAUGUUGCCGAGGAUUUGGUGCUGAUGUGAUAAUGACUUCAGAAUCUUGCUGAAAUGGUACUGAAUGAUGCAAUGAAGCACUAGAAAAACUUGAUAAGAAGUAUGAUAUUGUUGUCAAUAUUUAAGGGGAUGAGCUUCUUAUUGAACUAGAGAUAAUAGAUGGCAUUGUUAAAGCUCUGCAGCUGCAGGCAGCUCCAGAUGUAGUUUAUAGCACUGCUGUCACAUCUUUAAAACCUAAAGAUGCAUUUGAUCCAAAUCAAGUGAAAUGUGUGGUGGAUAAUCGUGGUUAUGCUAUUUAUUUUUCAAGGGAACUGAUUCCAUAUAACUAGUGAGAAUAUAUAUCUUAAUGUGUACUAUGUUACUAUUAUUUAUUUAUUUUAUUGUUAUUAUUAUUUUUUUUUGAUAACUUCUUGGGCUGGUUGAUGAACUUGCCUACUACUUGAUACAGGUCAGGAAAGGUUAAUCUACAGUUUCCAUAUAUGUUCAUCUUCGAAUUCAGGUGUCCAAAUGGUUCCACCAUUUUCCUUUUCUUGAAACAAAAACAAGGAACUUUCCUCUUGUUUAUGGUAACAUUAUUGUCAUUAUUAUGUUAUCUUUCGGUGAAUUGAUAGUGUUUUAUUGUUGGGCCACAGCUAUGAUUCAAAGUUUCUGAAGAUAUAUCCACGGCUUCGACCUACCCCACUUCAACUAGAAGAAGAUCUUGAACAACUGAAAGUUCUUGAGAAUGGGUAUAAGAUGAAGGUAUAGUAGACUUCUUUUCUGUGCUUGUGCCUUGAGUGACUUCUUUUAUAUUAAGUCAUCAAACGAUAAUUUCAGUAAUGCAUCACCUUUUAAAACCUAGUGUUAGAAGUGUUUGGAUCUAUCAGGGAAAUCUGAUCAUUUGGCAGUCUCCUUAAUAGCAUUGCUAGUAAACUAUUUUCUUUUUGAUAAUAUCUAUGACCACAUAAGUUUUAAUCCUUACUUUUCAGUUUAGAUUGAUAAAAUGUUCAUAUAUUUAGAAUGAUAGAUGGCUGCUAUAUUGGUUUUAUCUUAUAACUCUGAAGCUAAUUACCAGUGAUGAAUUAUUGGUUAGUACAUGCUGCAAACAGGAUUUUCCAGCCUCC